CCUACGGGAGGCAGCAGUGGGGAAUAUUGCACAAUGGGGGAAACCCUGAUGCAGCGACGCCGCGUGAGUGAAGAAGUAAUUCGGUAUGUAAAGCUCUAUCAGCAGGGAAGAAAAUGACGGUACCUGAGUAAGAAGCCCCGGCUAACUACGUGCCAGCAGCCGCGGUAAUACGUAGGGGGCAAGCGUUAUGCGGAUGUACGGGGUGGAAAGGGAGCGUAGACGGCAGUGCAAGGCUGGAGUGAAAGCCCGGGGCUCAACCCACGGACUGCUCUGGAAACUGUACGGCUGGAGUGCAGGAGAGGUAAGUGGAAUUCCUAGUGUAGCGGUGAAAUGCGUAGAUAUUAGGAGGAACACCAGUGGCGAAGGCGGCUUACUGGACUGUAACUGACGUUGAGGCUCGAAAGCGUGGGGAGCAAACAGGAUUAGAUACCCUUGUAGUC
rnacentral:rRNA from 1 species